UACGUAGGUGGCAAGCGUUGUCCGGAUUUACUGGGCGUAAAGGGAGCGUAGGCGGACUUUUAAGUGGGAUGUGAAAUACCCGGGCUUAACCUGGGUGCUGCAUUCCAAACUGGGAGUCUAGAGUGCAGGAGGGGAAAGUGGAAUUCCUAGUGUAGCGGUGAAAUGCGUAGAGAUUAGGAAGAACACCAGUGGCGAAGGCGACUUUCUGGACUGUAACUGACGCUGAGGAUCGAAAGCGUGGGGAGCGAACAGG
rnacentral:rRNA from 1 species